rnacentral:rRNA from 1 species
GUUUUACGUUCCCUGCCCUUUGUACACACCGCCCGUCGCUACUACCGAUUGAAUGGCUCAGUGAGGCGUCCGGACUGGCCCAGAGAGGCGGGCAACUGCCACUCAGGGCCGGAAAGCUCUCCAAACUCGGUCAUUUAGAGGAAGUAAAAGUCGUAACAAGGUCUCCGUUGGUGAACCAGCGGAGGGAUCAUUA